AUACGUAGGGUGCGAGCGUUGUCCGGAAUGAUUGGGCGUAAAGGGCGCGUAGGCGGCGCGGUAAGUCUGGAGUGAAAGUCCUACUUUCAAGGUGGGAAUUGCUUUGGAUACUGCCGCGCUUGAGUGCAGGAGAGGUUAUCGGAAUUCCCGGUGUAGCGGUGAAAUGCGUAGAGAUCGGGAGGAACACCAGUGGCGAAGGCGGGUAACUGGACUGCAACUGACGCUGAGGCGCGAAAGUGUGGGGAGCAAACAGGAUUAGAUACCCUGGUAGUCCACACUGUAAACGAUGAAUGCUAGGUGUAAGAGGUAUCGACCCCUUUUGUGCCGGAGUCAACACAAUAAGCAUUCCGCCUGGGGAGUACGGCCGCAAGGUUGAAACUCAAAGGAAUUGACGGGG
rnacentral:rRNA from 1 species